UACGAAGGGGGCUAGCGUUGCUCGGAAUUACUGGGCGUAAAGCGCACGUAGGCGGUCUUUUAAGUCGGGGGUGAAAUCCUGGAGCUCAACUCCAGAACUGCCUUCGAUACUGGAAGACUCGAGUCCGGGAGAGGUGAGUGGAACUGCGAGUGUAGAGGUGAAAUUCGUAGAUAUUCGCAAGAACACCAGUGGCGAAGGCGGCUUACUGGUCCAUAACUGACGCUGAGGUGCGAAAGCGUGGGGAGCAAACAGG
rnacentral:rRNA from 1 species